GUGGGGAAUCUUGCGCAAUGGGCGAAAGCCUGACGCAGCCAUGCCGCGUGAAUGAUGAAGGUCUUAGGAUUGUAAAAUUCUUUCACCGGGGACGAUAAUGACGGUACCCGGAGAAGAAGCUCCGGCUAACUUCGUGCCAGCAGCCGCGGUAAUACGAAGGGGGCUAGCGUUGCUCGGAAUUACUGGGCGUAAAGGGCGCGUAGGCGGACAGUUUAGUCAGAGGUGAAAGCCCAGGGCUCAACCUUGGAAUUGCCUUUGAUACUGGCUGUCUUGAGUACGGGAGAGGUGAGUGGAACUCCGAGUGUAGAGGUGAAAUUCGUAGAUAUUCGGAAGAACACCAGUGGCGAAGGCGACUCACUGGCCCAAUACUGACGCUGAGGCGCGAAAGCGUGGGGAGCAAACAGGAUUAGAAACCCGUGUAGUCC
rnacentral:rRNA from 1 species